UACGAAGGGGGCUAGCGUUGCUCGGAAUCACUGGGCGUAAAGGGUGCGUAGGCGGGUCUUUAAGUCAGAGGUGAAAUCCUGGAGCUCAACUCCAGAACUGCCUUUGAUACUGAGGAUCUUGAGUUCGGGAGAGGUGAGUGGAACUGCGAGUGUAGAGGUGAAAUUCGUAGAUAUUCGCAAGAACACCAGUGGCGAAGGCGGCUCACUGGCCCGAUACUGACGCUGAGGCACGAAAGCGUGGGGAGCAAACAGGGA
rnacentral:rRNA from 1 species